UACGUAGGGGGCAAGCGUUGUCCGGAUUUAUUGGGCGUAAAGAGCUCGUAGGUGGUUCGGUAAGUCGGAUGUGAAAUCUCCAGGCUCAACCUGGAGGGGUCAUUCGAUACUGCCGUGACUAGAGGUCGGUAGGGGAGUGUGGAAUUCCUGGUGGAGCGGUGAAAUGCGCAGAUAUCAGGAGGAACACCAAUGGCGAAGGCAGCUCGCUGGGACGUGACUGACGCUGAGACGCGAAAGCGUGGGGAGCGAACAGG
rnacentral:rRNA from 1 species